GACGAACGCUGGCGGCGUGCUUAACACAUGCAAGUCGAACGGAAAGGCCCUGCUUUUGUGGGGUGCUCGAGUGGCGAACGGGUGAGUAACACGUGAGUAACCUGCCCUUGACUUUGGGAUAACUUCAGGAAACUGGGGCUAAUACCGGAUAGGAGCUCCUGCUGCAUGGUGGGGGUUGGAAAGUUUCGGCGGUUGGGGAUGGACUCGCGGCUUAUCAGCUUGUUGGUGGGGUAGUGGCUUACCAAGGCUUUGACGGGUAGCCGGCCUGAGAGGGUGACCGGCCACAUUGGGACUGAGAUACGGCCCAGACUCCUACGGGAGGUAGCAGUGGGGAAUAUUGCACAAUGAGCGGAAGCCUGAUGCAGCAACGCCGCGUGCGGGAUGACGGCCUUCGGGUUGUAAACCGCUUUCGCCUGUGACGAAGCGUGAGUGACGGUAAUGGGUAAAGAAGCACCGGCUAACUACGUG
rnacentral:rRNA from 1 species